UAAACGGUAGUUUGCUUACCUUGUUUUCAAUAACAAUGUACAGAAGACUAGAAGAAAAUUACAAACUUGGAGCAGUCUGAGCCUCAGUUUUGGCGUUUUCAUGAGUCUUAAUUACGAAUGAAAUUCGCCACUUUGAAGCCAAACUCGGAAAGAAGCAGAAACAGAAUUGGAUGAGCUGAUAUAGAAUUAGACAGGAAAAACGUAUUAUCAUUAUGAGAAUACAUCAUUACAGUACAGACCAUUGAUGCUGGAAGUGAGUGGAUAGUGUUACCGGAGACUCAGGGAUCCAGAAAAUAGAUCCAUAAAUUGUACAGUGUAUUCAUGAAAGUGGAUCAAAUAAAAAUGUUCAAUCCAAAAGUAACAUUCUUUGUCUGUUAGCAUUUUUUUAUUGAUGUAAAUCUAACAAGCUAAUUCAGAGAAUUUGUGUCCCCCGCUUAGGGAAAAAGUAAAC